rnacentral:rRNA from 1 species
GUGUCAGCAGCCGCGGUAAUACGUAGGGGGCAAGCGUUGUCCGGAAUUAUUGGGCGUAAAGCGCGCGCAGGCGGUUGUUUAAGUCUGGUGUUUAACCCUCGGGCUCAACCUGGGGUCGCACCGGAUACUGGGCAACUGGAGUGCAGGAGAGGAAAGUGGAAUUCCACGUGUAGCGGUGAAAUGCGUAGAGAUGUGGAGGAACACCAGUGGCGAAGGCGACUUUCUGGCCUGUAACUGACGCUGAGGCGCGAAAGCGUGGGGAGCAAACAGGAUUAGAUACCCUAGUAGUCC